UGCAAGUCGAACGAAGCAGAUGAGAAAGCUUGCUUUUUUAUUUCGCUUAGUGGCGGACGGGUGAGUAACGCGUGAGUAACCUGCCCUUCAGUGGGGAAUAACAUCGAGAAAUCGGUGCUAAUACCGCAUAACGUAUUUAUGUCGUAUGACAUUUAUACCAAAGGAUUUAUUCGCUGAAGGAUGGACUCGCGUCCGAUUAGAUAGUUGGUGAGAUAAUGGCCCACCAAGUCAACGAUCGGUAGCCGAACUGAGAGGUUGAUCGGCCACAUUGGGACUGAGACACGGCCCAGACUCCUACGGGAGGCAGCAGUGGGGAAUAUUGGGCAAUGGGCGAAAGCCUGACCCAGCAACGCCGCGUGAAGGAUGAAGGUCUUCGGAUUGUAAACUUCUUUGAUUAGGGAAGAAUUUUUGACCUGCCUAAAGAACAAGUCACGGCUAACUACGUGCCAGCAGCCGCGGUAAUACGUAGGUGACAAGCGUUAUCCGGAUUUACUGGGUGUAAAGGGCGUGUAGGCGGUUUUGCAAGUCAGAUGUGAAAUUCCCAGGCUUAACCUGGGCGCUGCAUCUGAAACUGCAAGACUUGAGUACUGGAGAGGAUAGUGGAAUUCCUAGUGUAGCGGUAAAAUGCGCAGAUAUUAGGAGGAACACCGGUGGCGAAGGCGACUAUCUGGACAGUAACUGACGCUGAGGCGCGAAAGCG
rnacentral:rRNA from 1 species